rnacentral:rRNA from 1 species
UUCCGGUUGAUCCUGCCGGACCCGACUGCUAUUUGGGUGAGGAUAACCAUGCGAGUUGAAUGGGAUACCUAAAUAUCCCAUAGCAAACUGCUCAGUAACACAUGAUCAACUUACCCUAUGGAGAAAAAUAACCUCGGGAAACUGAGGAUAAUGUUUCAUAGUUGAAUAGGCUUGGAAAAGUUUUUCAAUGAAAGGGAUAAGAAAAAUGGUUCUUAUUUGCCAUAGGAUAGGAUCGUGGUCGAUUAUGGUUGUUGGUGAGGUAACGGCUCACCAAGCCGAUAAUCGAUAGGGGCCGUGAGAGCGGGAGCCCCGAGAUGGGUACUGAGACAACGACCCAGGCCUUACGAGGCGCAGCAGGUGCGGAACCUCCGCAAUACACGAAAGUGUGACGGGGUUACCCAAAGUGUUCAUUAUUGAACUGUGGUAGGUGAGUAAUGUCCCCUACUAGAAAGGAGAGGGCAAGGCUGGUGCCAGCCGCCGCGGUAAAACCAGCUCUUCAAGUGGUCGGGAUGAUUAUUGGGCUUAAAGUGUCCGUAGCCGGUUUAGUAAGUUCCUGGUAAAAUCGGGUAGCUUAACUAUCCGUAUGCUAGGAAUACUGCUAUACUAGAGGGCGGGAGAGGUCUGAGGUACUAUAGGGGUAGGGGUGAAAUCCUAUAAUCCUUAUAGGACCACCAGUGGCGAAGGCGUCAGACUGGAACGCGCCUGACGGUGAGGGACGAAAGCCAGGGGAGCGAACCGGAUUAGAUACCCGGGUAGUCCUGGCCGUAAACGAUGCAUACUAGGUGAUGGCACGGCCAUGAGCCGUGUCAGUGCCGUAGGGAAACCGUUAAGUGUGCCGCCUGGGAAGUACGGUCGCAAGGCUAAAACUUAAAGGAAUUGGCGGGGGAGCACCACAAGGGGUGAAGCCUGCGGUUCAAUUGGAGUCAACGCCGGA